AUUGAACGCUGGCGGCAGGCCUAACACAUGCCAGUCGAGCGGAUGAAGGGAGCUUGCUCCUGGAUUCAGCGGCGGACGGGUGAGUAAUGCCUAGGAAUCUGCCUGGUAGUGGGGGAUAACGUCCGGAAACGGGCGCUAAUACCGCAUACGUCCUGAGGGAGAAAGUGGGGGAUCUUCGGACCUCACGCUAUCAGAUGAGCCUAGGUCGGAUUAGCUAGUUGGUGGGGUAAAGGCCUACCAAGGCGACGAUCCGUAACUGGUCUGAGAGGAUGAUCAGUCACACUGGAACUGAGACACGGUCCAGACUCCUACGGGAGGCAGCAGUGGGGAAUAUUGGACAAUGGGCGAAAGCCUGAUCCAGCCAUGCCGCGUGUGUGAAGAAGGUCUUCGGAUUGUAAAGCACUUUAAGUUGGGAGGAAGGGCAGUAAGUUAAUACCUUGCUGUUUUGACGUUACCAACAGAAUAAGCACCGGCUAAUUUCGUG
rnacentral:rRNA from 1 species